GACGAACGCUGGCGGCGUGCUUAACACAUGCAAGUCGAACGGAAAGGCCCCCUUGUGGGGUACUCGAGUGGCGAACGGGUGAGUAACACGUGAGUAACCUACCCUUGACUUUGGGAUAACUUCUGGAAACUGGGGCUAAUACCGGAUAGGAGCUCCUGCUGCAUGGUGGGGGUUGGAAAGUUUCGGCGGUUGGGGAUGGACUCGCGGCUUAUCAGCUUGUUGGUGGGGUAGUGGCUCACCAAGGCUUUGACGGGUAGCCGGCCUGAGAGGGUGACCGGCCACAUUGGGACUGAGAUACGGCCCAGACUCCUACGGGAGGCAGCAGUGGGGAAUAUUGCACAAUGGGCGGAAGCCUGAUGCAGCAACGCCGCGUGCGGGAUGACGGCCUUCGGGUUGUAAACCGCUUUCGCCUGUGACGAAGCGUGAGUGACGGUAAUGGGUAAAGAAGCACCGGCUAACUACGUG
rnacentral:rRNA from 1 species